rnacentral:rRNA from 1 species
AGUGAACGCUGGCGGUAGGCCUAACACAUGCAAGUCGAACGGCAGCACAGUAAGAGCUUGCUCUUACGGGUGGCGAGUGGCGGACGGGUGAGGAAUACAUCGGAAUCUACUUUUUCGUGGGGGAUAACGUAGGGAAACUUACGCUAAUACCGCAUACGACCUACGGGUGAAAGCAGGGGAUCUUCGGACCUCGCGCGAUUGAAUGAGCCGAUGUCGGAUUAGCUAGUUGGCGGGGUAAAGGCCCACCAAGGCGACGAUCCGUAGCUGGUCUGAGAGGAUGAUCAGCCACACUGGAACUGAGACACGGUCCAGACUCCUACGGGAGGCAGCAGUGGGGAAUAUUGGACAAUGGGCGCAAGCCUGAUCCAGCCAUACCGCGUGGGUGAAGAAGGCCUUCGGGUUGUAAAGCCCUUUUGUUGGGAAAGAAAAGCAGCAGGUUAAUACCCCGCUGUUCUGACGGUACCCAAAGAAUAAGCACCGGUUAACUUCGUG